rnacentral:lncRNA from 1 species
CACAGAAGCUCCGGGCUCGCGGCCGCCCCGCACAGCCCGCAUGGACGGGGAGCCUGCAAGGCGCCGGAGGAAGGCCCAGGCCUGGAGGGGACCAGCGCGGCCUGGAAGAUUAUUAAGACACCUCAACCAUGCAGAGCCCACCUGGAGAAGUGCAGGCGUGCUCGGACCCUGCUGUAACGUCCUGAGAGGUGAAAGGGGCCCGAGCUCUUGCCCGAUGGAUGGCUCUUCAAGCAUGUCCUACUGGGACCUUUCUAACCAGUGAAUUGUUCACCUCCCAGUGAUUCUUCCCGAUUGAGGCCAAGAGAUUUCUGGAGCCUCUUGUCAUGGUCAGCAACAUCCCAUGAGUGACCAGGAAGUGGGGGUUUCUGUUCUAAGUCCCUCAGGCAAAGACAAAGCAGAUGAGCCUGCCUCUGGGGAAGAAGCAUAAGAGUGUGUCCACCAUGGCUGUGCCCAGAGUGCCAAGGGUUGGCGUGACUGGGGCCAGCUGGAAUUCUAGAAUUUGUAUUUGGUGGGAGUCUCGCCAAAACUCCCAGAAGAGCUCCCCCUGAAGAGAGCUGGUCUACCAGUGAGCCAAGUGGCACGUUCGCCCUAUCUUGCAAGUGACCACACCCUGUCAGGACAAGUGAGGGUCACAGACUGGAACCAAAGGAAGUCAGGUGCUUCAUAGGAGGACAAGCAAAUCAGCCCAGUCAAGCAGGUAAGGGAAAAAAGAGGCAGGGUUCACCACCCUAUCCCAUGGAGACCGAGAGACUUCUGUGGUGUGCUAAUAACUGCACAUUCUAGGUCGAAGAGGGUGAUUUUUGGUCUGCAUGUGAUUAAGAGCCAUUUUUCCUGAAAAAUGCAGAACGGUGUAUAUUCAGUUGUUAAGAAUGAGCCAAUUCUAUGGCCAAAGCAAGGCUCUGGUCAAAAGUUAACAACUCGGUUAUCCUGGGAAAAAAUUAACUGGCCCCCAACCUUUGCCUUUUCCAGCAAUUGGGGGAAAAUAAAGAGUUAGGUAAAAUGAUUUAUUUCUUCCCA